AGUUUGAUCCUGGCUCAGAUUGAACGCUGGCGCCGCAGGCCUAACACAUGCAAGUCGAGCGGUAGAGAGAAGCUUGCUUCUCUUGAGUAGCGGCGUGACGGGUGAGUAAUGCCUAGGAAUCUGCCGGCUGGUAGUGGGGGAUAACGUUCGGAAACGGACGCUAAUACCGCAUACGUCCUUUACGGGAGUAAAGCAGGGGACDCUUCGGGCCUUGCGCUAUCAGAUGACGCCUAGGUCGGAUUAGCUAGUUGGUGGGGUAAUGGCUUUCACCAAGGCGUAAACGAUCCGUUAACUGGUCUGAGAGGAUGAUCAGUCACACUGGCAACUGAGACACGGUCCAGACUCAACUACGGGAGGCAGCAGUGGGGAAUAUUGGACAAAUGGGACCGAAAGCCUGAUCCAGCCAUGCCGCGUGUGUUAAGAAGGUCUUCGGAUUGUAAAUGCACUUUUAAGUUUGGAGGAAGGGUUGUUAGAUUAUAUACUCUGCAAUUUUGACGUUACCGCCAGAAUAAGCACCGGCUAACUCUGUGCCAGCAGACCAGCGGUGCCUAUUAAUUUUACANNGGGUGCAAGCAGUUCAAUCGGAAUUACUGGGCGUAAAGCGCGCGUAGGAACUGGUUUGUUAAGUUGGCAUGUGAAAUCCCCGGGCUCAACCUGGGAACUGCAUCUCAAAGGACUGACUGACUAGAGUAUGGUAGAGGGUGGUGGAAUCUUCCGCCUGUGUAGGGCGGCUGAAAUGCUCCGUAGAUAUAGGAAGGAACACCAGUGGCGAAGGCGACCACCUGGACUGAUACUGGACACUGAGGUGCGAAAGCGUGGGGAGCAAACAGGAUUAGAACAUACCCUGGUAGUCCACGCCGUAAACGAUGUCAACUAGCCGUUGGGAGCCCUUGAGCUCUUAGUGGCGCAGCUAACGCUAUUAAGUUGACCGGCCUGGGGAGUACGGCCGCAAGGUUAAAACUCAAAUGAAUUGACGGGGGCCCGCACAAGCGGUGGAGCAUGUGGUUUAAUUCGAAGCAACGCGAAGAACCUUACCAGGCCUUGACAUC
rnacentral:rRNA from 2 species